GACGAACGCUGGCGGCGUGCUUAACACAUGCAAGUCGAACGAAGUGGCGAACGGGUGAGUAACGCGUAAUCAAACUUCCCUUCAGAGGGGGACAACAGUUGGAAACGACUGCUAAUACCGCAUACAGAAGGAGGGGAUUGCGUCUGAUUAGCUAGUGGGAGGGGUAACGGCCCACCAAGGCGAUGAUCAGGAGCCGGGCGGAGAGGAGUAACGGCCACAUUGGGACUGAUACACGGCACAGACUCCUACGGGAGGCAGCAGUGGGGAAUCUUCCGCAAUUGACGAAAGUCUGACGAAGCAACGCCGCGUGAGUGAUGACGGCCUUCGGGUUGUAAAGCUCUGUUAAUCGGGACGCGGUACCGGAAUAGAAAGCCACGGCUAACUACGUGCCAGCAGCCGCGGUAAUUC
rnacentral:rRNA from 1 species